rnacentral:rRNA from 1 species
UACAGGGGGUGCAAGCGUUAUUCGGAAUUAUUGGGCGUAAAGAGCGUGUAGGCGGCUUGGUUAGUCUAUUGUGAAAUCCCCGGGCUCAAUCCGGGAAGUGCAGUAGAUACUGCCGAGCUAGAGUGCAGGAGAGGAGAGCGGAAUUCCUGGUGUAGAGGUGAAAUUCGUAGAUAUCAGGAGGAACAACAGUGGCGAAGGCGGCUCUCUGGACUGUUACUGACGCUAAGGCGCGAAAGCGUGGGGAGCAAACAGG